AACGAACGCUGGCGGCAUGCCUAACACAUGCAAGUCGAACGAGACCUUCGGUUCUAGUGUCCCCCGGUUGCGAACCGCUUAGGAACCUGUCCUUAGGUUCGGCAUAACUUCCCGAUAGGUUUACUAAUCCCGGAUAAUUUCUUCGUACCAAUGCUUUCUCGCCUUUGGAUGGGCGCGCGUUGGAGUAGCUAGUUGUUAGGUUAAAAGCCUACCAAGGCGACGAUCCAUAGCUGGUCUGAGAGGAUGAUCAGCAGACUGGGACUGAGACACGGCCCAGACGCGUAGGAGAGGCGGGAGAGGGUGAUAAAGGACAGGAGGCGAAAGGCUGAUCCAGCAAGGCCGGGUGAACGAUGAAGGGGUUAUGGAUGGAAAGCUGUAGUAGCCGGGAUGAUAAUGACAGUACCGGGAGAAUAAGCACCGGCUAACUCCGUG
rnacentral:rRNA from 1 species